GUCUAUGGCCAUACCACCCUGAACGCGCCGAUCUCGUCUGAUCUUGGAAGCUAAGCAGGGUCAGGCCUGGUUAGUACUUGGAUGGGAGAUUGCGGUGGGCUUACUUC
rnacentral:rRNA from 1 species